rnacentral:rRNA from 1 species
ACGCUGGCGGCAGGCCUAACACAUGCAAGUCGAGCGGAUGAAGGGAGCUUGCUCCUGGAUUCAGCGGCGGACGGGUGAGUAAUGCCUAGGAAUCUGCCUGGUAGUGGGGGAUAACGUCCGGAAACGGGCGCUAAUACCGCAUACGUCCUGAGGGAGAAAGUGGGGGAUCUUCGGACCUCACGCUAUCAGAUGAGCCUAGGUCGGAUUAGCUAGUUGGUGGGGUAAAGGCCUACCAAGGCGACGAUCCGUAACUGGUCUGAGAGGAUGAUCAGUCACACUGGAACUGAGACACGGUCCAGACUCCUACGGGAGGCAGCAGUGGGGAAUAUUGGACAAUGGGCGAAAGCCCGAUCCAGCCAUGCCGCGUGUGUGAAGAAGGUCUUCGGAUUGUAAAGCACUUUAAGUUGGGAGGAAGGGCAGUAAGUUAAUACCUUGCUGUUUUGACGUUACCAACAGAAUAAGCACCGGCUAACUCCGUGCCAGCAGCCGCGGUAAUACGAAGGGUGCAAGCGUUAAUCGGAAUUACUGGGCGUAAAGCGCGCGUAGGUGGUUCAGCAAGUUGGAUGUGAAAUCCCCGGGCUCAACCUGGGAACUGCAUCCAAAACUACUGAGCUAGAGUACGGUAGAGGGUGGUGGAAUUUCCUGUGUAGCGGUGAAAUGCGUAGAUAUAGGAAGGAACACCAGUGGCGAAGGCGACCACCUGGACUGAUACUGACACUGAGGUGCGAAAGCGUGGGGAGCGAACAGGAUUAGAUACCCUGGUAGUCCACGCCGUAAACGAUGUCGACUAGCCGUUGGGAUCCUUGAGAUCUUAGUGGCGCAGCUAACGCGAUAAGUCGACCGCCUGGGGAGUACGGCCGCAAGGUUAAAACUCAAAUGAAUUGACGGGGGCCCGCACAAGCGGUGGAGCAUGUGGUUUAAUUCGAAGCAACGCGAAGAACCUUACCUGGCCUUGACAUGCUGAGAACUUUCCAGAGAUGGAUUGGUGCCUUCGGGAACUCAGACACAGGUGCUGCAUGGCUGUCGUCAGCUCGUGUCGUGAGAUGUUGGGUUAAGUCCCGUAACGAGCGCAACCCUUGUCCUUAGUUACCAGCACCUCGGGUGGGCACUCUAAGGAGACUGCCGGUGACAAACCGGAGGAAGGUGGGGAUGACGUCAAGUCAUCAUGGCCCUUACGGCCAGGGCUACACACGUGCUACAAUGGUCGGUACAAAGGGUUGCCAAGCCGCGAGGUGGAGCUAAUCCCAUAAAACCGAUCGUAGUCCGGAUCGCAGUCUGCAACUCGACUGCGUGAAGUCGGAAUCGCUAGUAAUCGUGAAUCAGAAUGUCACGGUGAAUACGUUCCCGGGCCUUGUACACACCGCCCGUCACACCAUGGGAGUGGGUUGCUCCAGAAGUAGCUAGUCUAACCGCAAGGGGGACGGUUACCACGGAGUGAUUCAUGACUGGGGUGAAGUCGUAACAAGGU